UUGAUAUCAUCUAGAAUUUUAAUUCUUUAUACUUUUGAUAUUAUUUAUUAUUCUUCAGUAAGAAUACACUUUUGAUUUUCUUAUUCUUUUAAAAAUUUUGAUAAUUAUUUGUUUAGACAACUCUACUGAGUUAUUUUCUCAUGCUUACUUCUAAAAUCCCAGAGUUUUCUUGGAUUUACUUUUUUUGCUAGAAUAUUCCUUCCUGGAAUAUUUUCAAAGGGUCUCUGUGUGGUUAACCUUCUAAGUCCUUGUAUUCCUGAGAAUAUCAUCAUUUCAUUCUUAGAUGAUAAUUUAGCUGGAUUUGAAAUUCUGGAUUUGAAGUUCCUUUUGCACUUUGAAAAUAUUGCUUCAUUGUCUUUUUAUAUCUAGGGUUAAUGAUGAGGAAUAUUUUUGUCAAUCUGAUUCUUCUUACUUUGAGUCUGAUUGACUCUUACUCUCUGGAAGCAGUUCACGUGUUCUCUUAGCCUCUGAUGCCCUCAAAUUUCACUAUAUUGAAUGCAUCCAGGUAUGGGGUUUUUUCCUUAAUUAACCCUUCUGGCACCAAAUGAGUAUUUUCUAUCUGAGGUGUUACAUCUUUAUUGCAAUUUUGGGAAAUUUUCAGUAGUAAUUUCUUCCAGUACUUCCCCCUCCAUUUUUUUUUCUCCUUUAGGGUCUCCUACUGUGAUGUCAGCGGCUCUCUUUGUCAUCCCACCUCUUAGUCCCGGCCAAAGUCUCCUCAGAAUGCCCUGCACAGUGCUCUGGCUGUGUAAUUUCUCCUCGGCUGGGUUUCAAACCCUGUAUUGAGUUCUUUCUUUUAAUUGAAACAAUUUUCAACCCCUGUAGCUGUGGUUCUUUCAUUUUAAAAAUUAUAACUGCUUGUCCUGCUUCAUAAUUUCAGUAUUCUCCCUUCUCUUUGAGGAUAUGUACUCUGCGUCGUUUAGAUUCCUUGUCUGAAUCCAUUAAUCUGCUUCUUCUGGAGAAGGUCAUUCAAUGAGCUCCUUUAUUAACGGCUCAUUAUUUCCCCUGCAAGCCCUUUCCUGUGAAGACAUGUCAGGGGCGCUCCGGGAUGUUCUGUCCUCCACCGUGGGCUCCCGCAGGGGUGGCCGGCUGAGGUUGCUGUGACCCUCGGUAAUGGGCAGGAGCAGGUCGUCCCGGGGCGCCGUGGGGUCAGGGGCAGGGAGAGGCUGAGCACCCCUGGUCCCCUGUCCUGCUCUGGCUGAGGAUCGUCCGCCACAGCGCCCCAGGAGUCGCAGGGCCUCAGUGGUGGGUUCAGGGUCCACCAGCCCCUGCUCCUGUUGGCUCGGCAUGCGGCAUGGGCCGCGUUUCCUGGGGCUGCUUCCACCUGCCCACCCGACUGACCGACAGCGUCUGGGGGACACACUGCGACGUGUCCCCGUGGCGGCCCCAUGAGCCUCGUCUGUGAGCGGGGGUUUCUGUUUCCUCAUCUGGGCAGGGAAAGGACCUUCCCACGGGCCUAACUGGUGCAGGUGCAGCGAGAGGCUGGGCAGGGACAGCAGCCUGCUGCAGGUGGGUCCUGCUUGUCACUGCUGCUGUGCUUACUGCCCAGUGCAGACCCGAGGCCUGUCCCCGUGGGAAGGACGGGAAGUGCCUGUCUCCAGACUUCACUCAGUCCACGGUGGCGUUUUCCGCACUCCAUCUGGCUGCUGCCCCCUGCCCGCAGGUGCUGCCUUCCUAACCCGGUGAACGCUAGAGGGGAGCUGCAGAAAGUUCCCGUCGGCUGAGACAGUUUCUCCAGGGCUGGCAGAGCUGGCUGCACCGGGAUCCUGGCUGGGGUCCUCGCCUCAGGCAGUCUUCAGCCGGUGGGGUGCAGCAGGGGCUGGCACAUCAGCGUCAGCCUCAGCGAUGCGGAAACAGGACAGGGUGACAAAUGCCGGUAAGCCCAUGGCUGGUGCACACAGCCGGAGGCCACGCAUGUCACGGGGAGUGUGGUGGCACCUGCCCCCAGCAUAGUUUCAAGCCCCUACUAAGGACAACAAGCAACAAAUCUAUGAGAUAGCUCGAGCCAGGCAAAGCGCUAAGGGCUCUGCCUGGAUUAUCCCUUUCACCACUGGAAAGCCAUGUCAUGGGCCCAGUGUUGCUUCCAGCAGGCAGGGACAGAACCUGAGAAUUAGAGAGGACUGGCCUGGGUUCACACGGAAAGCGAGGCGCCGAGUGGCCCCGACUCCCGGGCCUUGGGCCUGGCAGCUGCUGCAGAGCUCCUCUGGACACUGAUCCGUUUGGAGGGCGGCUGCCCCGGACAGAUGGACCACAGCUCACCACCUGAAGAACGGCUCGUGCGAUGUUUUUGAAUUGCCGAUUUAGUGGCCCUCUAUCCGUGUGAGCGUCCAGUGCUGGAGGAUUUAGGUGAAACAAAGCAAAGGCAGGGGACAUGCAGGGAGAGUCCUGGGCGGUUUCCUUCCUUCCACCGCAUCCCCGGCGUCGUCCUCCUGCCUCUUGGUGAUGAGCCAGAGCAUGUCACGGGUGGACGUGGGGCUGCACCUGCAGGUACAGCGGCAGGACCUGAGAAACAACCACUCAUGAGCCUCGGAAGGUUGAGCUGCUGGUUUCGCUGAACUGGUGACUGAGGGUGGAACUUUCACUUCGACUUUCUAUUGCAUUUUUCGUAUUUUCCUCAUUCCGGUUUGAGGAUCUGGGGCUAGUCUUUUGGAUCUGUUUUACCCAUUCAUGCUCUUUCUUUCUUUUUUAAAAACGUCUUAUUUUGAAAUACUUUCAAGCUUAUAGGACAGUUGCAAAAAUAAUUCAGAACUCAUAAGAGAAUGUACGUCCCCUCCCCCCGGCCUGGACACCAAGAUCCACCAGUUCAACAUUUCUCAGCUGCGCUGUUUCUUUUUGAAGCGGAGGGAGUGGAAAGCUUCGAGCCAGGCAUCCUGCCUGUGCCUGUGUAGCCAGGCGAAGAAAAAGAGGGCAUCUCCUGCUGAAAGAAGUUUGGCAGUUUGGAUCAGACAUCCUUUGGGUGCCAUCCAGCUCCAAGGGCCUGCUGCAGUCUGCAGCCCCCACAUACCACCGAGGGGCUCUGACCAUCUCCCUCUGUCUGAAACCGGGGAGUGGAACCACGCAGGCCGCCUGUCGCCCAGGGCUCAGGUGGGUUGGCCUCACCUGGUGAGAGCCGUGGGGCCUCCCGCACAGGCCCGGGAAGCAGCCGCACGGCCGGGACCUCCGCCGGCAGCCAGGUGGGCACCAGCUUUCUCCCUCCCAGCUCUCGGUUAUGCUCGGCCCCAGGAGGCACCAUGCACCCCGCAGUGACCCCACAGGGGCCUCCCUGCCCUGGAGGAAACCGAGGAUGGUGGGACGCUGUGGUGGCCGAGACCCCCGGCUUCUCCGCCACCUGCUCUGAGGACUGCCGAGUGCUGGCCCACUGGGCCCGGGGCCCCACGCCACUGGGGAGCCGUCCAUUUUGGGGCCUUCCCUGGGGUGGCGGGGUGCCCUGAGCUUCCCGCAGGCCGGGCUGCCUCGUUUGCUCCUUCUCCCGCACGCAGCACCUUCCAGGUGAGGACAAUGACCCUCGGGGCCGCCUGGAGGCCGGGAAGGAGCUGAGGGACAGAGGGGCCAUGGAAACACAGUGGCCCACCUUGUCCUCUCGGACCCAGGGGCCAGGGAGGGGCCAGCUCAGGUGCAAAAAUUAUCACGGGCUUUUGGUGUUAAUUUUGAUGUUUUUAAACAUUGCAUUAAAUACCUGCAUCUGGAUUUUUUUAA